rnacentral:rRNA from 1 species
ACACUCCUGCGGGAGGCAGCAGUGGGGAAUAUUGGACAAUGGGCGCAAGCCUGAUCCAGCCAUGCCGCGUGAGUGAUGAAGGCCCUAGGGUUGUAAAGCUCUUUCACUGGUGAAGAUAAUGACGGUAACCGGAGAAGAAGCCCCGGCUAACUUCGUGCCAGCAGCCGCGGUAAUACGAAGGGGGCUAGCGUUGUUCGGAUUUACUGGGCGUAAAGCGCACGUAGGCGGACUAUUAAGUCAGGGGUGAAAUCCCGGGGCUCAACCCCGGAACUGCCUUUGAUACUGGUAGUCUUGAGUUCGAGAGAGGUGAGUGGAAUUCCGAGUGUAGAGGUGAAAUUCGUAGAUAUUCGGAGGAACACCAGUGGCGAAGGCGGCUCACUGGCUCGAUACUGACGCUGAGGUGCGAAAGCGUGGGGAGCAAACAGGAUUAGAAACCCCGGUAGUCCCAUG